CGUCAGACUCCAGCUCGUGUAUCCCGGCCGGUGUACUGUGAGUUUCAUAACUGUGCAGUGUGGCAGGGUGCGAGCGGUUUUAAAAAAUCAAAUCACACAUAAAGCCAAGGGCUGAAAUCUUCCCGUCACGUCUUACUGCGUGACGUCAUUAAGAGCGCCGGAACUACAGUCGGCGUGAUCCUCGUCGAGAUUUUCAGUUGUGGAAGUUGUGGACAACAAACUGGAAGCCGUGAAUGGGACUGUAAAAACCUGACGUUGAGUGAGUCGGCUUUAAAACGUAUAAUAACACCCCAUACAGGCAGAAGCCUACCAUGUGUUCUAGCUGUGGAGCUUGGGGUUGGGAACCAGAUCACCUAAUCUGCAGAUGCACUGCCGAUGGGAUGAGCACCUAAGACUCUCUUGUACUGUAUAAGCAAGCUUCGACCUCCCAGUGUAACUGCUCGAGCACUGCGGAAUUCUCUUGGUCCCCUCCUCUUGAGUUGGAUUUAGUCUUUUUU